rnacentral:rRNA from 1 species
ACGGGAGGCAGCAGUGGGGAAUUUUGGACAAUGGGGGCAACCCUGAUCCAGCAAUGCCGCGUGAGUGAAGAAGGCCUUCGGGUUGUAAAGCUCUUUUGUCAGGGAAGAAACGGUGAUCUCUAAUAUAGAUUGCUAAUGACGGUACCUGAAGAAUAAGCACCGGCUAACUACGUGCCAGCAGCCGCGGUAAUACGUAGGGUGCAAGCGUUAAUCGGAAUUACUGGGCGUAAAGCGUGCGCAGGCGGUUAUAUAAGUCAGAUGUGAAAUCCCCGGGCUCAACCUGGGAACUGCAUUUGAGACUGUAUGGCUAGAGUGUGUCAGAGGGGGGUAGAAUUCCACGUGUAGCAGUGAAAUGCGUAGAUAUGUGGAGGAAUACCGAUGGCGAAGGCAGCCCCCUGGGAUAACACUGACGCUCAUGCACGAAAGCGUGGGGAGCAAACAGGAUUAGAUACCCUGGUAGUCCACGCCCUAAACGAUGUCUACUAGUUGUUGGGUCUUAAUUGACUUAGUAACGCAGCUAACGCGUGAAGUAGACCGCCUGGGGAGUACGGUCGCAAGAUUAAAACUCAAAGGAAUUGACGGG